rnacentral:rRNA from 1 species
ACGAACGCUGGCGGCAGGCCUAACACAUGCAAGUCGAACGAAGUCUUCGGACUUAGUGGCGCCCGGGUGAGUAACACGUGGGAAUAUACCUUACGCUGGGGGAUAACAUCGGGAAACUGAUGCUAAUACCGCAUACGCCCUUCGGGGGAAAGAUUUAUCGGCGAAAGAUUAGCCCGCGUCCGAUUAGCUAGUUGGUGAGGUAAUGGCUCACCAAGGCUCCGAUCGGUAGCUGGUCUGAGAGGAUGACCAGCCACACUGGGACUGAGACACGGCCCAGACUCCUACGGGAGGCAGCAGUGGGGAAUAUUGGACAAUGGGCGCAAGCCUGAUCCAGCCAUGCCGCGUGAGUGAUGAAGGCCUUAGGGUUGUAAAGCUCUUUCACCCACGACGAUGAUGACGGUAGUGGGAGAAGAAGCCCCGGCUAACUUCGUG